CCUACGCGGGGCAGCAGUAGGGAAUAUUGCUCAAUGGGGGAAACCCUGAAGCAGCAACGCCGCGUGGAGGAUGAAGGUUUUCGGAUUGUAAACUCCUUUUGUUAGAGAAGAUAAUGACGGUAUCUAACGGAUAAGCACCGGCUAACUCCGUGCCAGCAGCCGCGGUAAUACGGAGGGUGCAAGAGUUACGCGGAAUCAAUGAGCGUAAAGAGCGCGGAGCCGGGGUAGCAAGUCAGAUGUGAAAUCCUAUGGCUUAACCAUAGAUCUGCAUUUGAAACUGUUAUUCUAGAGUAUGGGAGAGGUGAGUGGAAUUGUAGGUGUAGGGGUAAAAUCCGUAGAGAUCAAGAGGAAUACUCAUUGCGAAGGCGACCUGCUAGAACAUAACUGACGCUGAUGCGCGAAAGCGUGGGGAGCAAACAGGAUUAGAUACCCGUGUAGUC
rnacentral:rRNA from 1 species